UCCUUCCAGAUUUCUUAUCCCUCAAAUCUUAAUAGUGGUUUGAGUGGCUUAAACCAGGGAGGAAAAAUGAAAUUGAAACGGACUUGGAGUCUUUAGUGACAAUCAAGUUCAUCUCAAACAAAA
rnacentral:snoRNA from 1 species